UCUUUGUCCCAACUAUGGAGAAAAAAACCAGAAACAACAAAAGUCGAUUUUGCAUCAAAUCAGAGUGGAAGGGUCUGUGCAUCCACUUGCCUUUGGUAUUUCAGCGUCCAAUUUUGAGCAUAUGCCAAAAGUGGGAGCAGCAGAGGUGCACAGUGAGGUCCGGUCAGCUCAGUGAUUGUGCAGCAGGAGCAGCAGAAGUGUCAGUCAUCCUGUGGAGCAGAGAGUGAGAGACCCCGAGACACGCACUCCUCUUUUAUAAGGAGGCACCGACAGACCAGAUCCCAUGGAGCUCUGCCAAGCCUCCCGCUCUGCCCUCAGGGCAGAGGUAGGCUGCUCGGAUAUGUUUGCAACAGUGAAGCAACAUUGUGUGUGUUAGUGGAAACUUGUAUUAUAAUCAUGACAGGUAUCAUAAACUGUAGAUGUAUGUGUUGACAAGGGGGGAACUCAUUUGUAAGUACCACUGAAUUAUAGUUAUCAUGCACUGUGACUUGUUAGUGUUAAUUGUCUGGUUUUUAUUUAGAAGUGAACCGCCAGCCAAAAGAAAAAAAAAAAAGAAACGUUUUGCAAUGCUACCCAACUGUGGAUUUCUUUGUUGGGUCAGAUUUUACAUGACAAUCAUAAGGAUGUGACUUUAUGCAAGUUCUCCAGCGCCUCGUCUCAUUACAGCACGCUAACAUAAUCUUCUUUUUUAUAUCAGGAACUGUUAAAUCACUUUUUUCAAGACUUGCUUUUGUGUGAAGUCCUCUUUUUACUGUUCUUAAUCUAUGUAUCUGUUUCUAAUGACUCUUAUGAGAUAUCAUCCUCUCAUUGUCCUUUUUUUCUUUUACUCUCUUUAUUUGUACUGCUUUUAUAUGAUAACACUUUUAUUUGUUUUACUUCCAUAUAUUCAUGUCGACAUUUUGUGUUUUGCCUUCUUGUUUUAACCUCUCGCCAUAGGCUUCCUCCCGUUUGUCUGACUGUUGAUUUUAUUCUAUCAUGUUAUCUUCUUGAGUUUCCCUCUUUUUUGUUUUUUCACUUUGUAAACUAAAGGUAAAUAAAAUAAUUAUCAUAAUUAUUGAAAUCAGUAAUGUUUGCAGACACUAACUGGAACAAUAAGAUGGUUAAAUGCAUUUUUAAGCGGUGUUACAAAAAAAAAAAA